GGUAAUGAAAAUGAGAGUCACACAAAAUAGAGAGUUAGUCAAUAAAGUGAUAUGAAGAUGAUGAUGGACUGUCAUAGCCAUAGCCAUGGCUUCUACUCUCAGUCUCACUCCCUCCAUAACCACCACUUCUCGUUCCUAUCUUUCACACACCAGACACAGUUUUCGAUAUCCCACAAUUAAGUUACCUUCUUUCAACAAUAAUAACUGUAAUAACAACCGUGUUUCCUUCAAGGUUUCAGCUUCAUCUUCAUCAUCUUCUUUUCAAGCUCUCAUAUUUGACUGUGAUGGUGUCAUCUUAGAAUCAGAGCAUUUAUAAUGAUGCAUUUCUUCACUUCAAUGUUCGUUCUCCUUCUUCUUCUUCUUCUUCUCAACCACUCAACUGGGAUAUUCAAUUAUAUGAUCAACUUCAGAACCAAAUUGGUGGUGGCAAACCCAAAAUGCAGUGGUUCUCUUUCUUUUGUUCUUCCAACUUUACUUCUUAGUAUUACUAUUAUUAUUAUUAUUAUUAUUAUUAUGUUAUGUUUGUGAAUUGUGAUUGUGUGUUUUUCUGUUUUUGGAAAUUUUAAGGUACUUUAAGGAACAUGGUUGGCCUUCAUCAACGUUAUUCGAAACUCCUCCAACUAGUGAUGAACAACGAGCCGAGUUAAUUGACACUCUUCAGGUGUUUUAUGCUUUUCUUACUGUCAUGUGUUUGACAUCAGACACGACACGCUUUUAAUCUGAAGUGUUAGUAAUUCGUAGUUAGAGAUAUCUGCUCAUCCUUUGUUUUGAUUAUUGUUAGAGUUCGAUGGUUACUGCAUUGGAAGUACUUAGGUUUUAUGUCCCACAUUGGUUAGAUGAAAUAACAAGUACUUAGGUUUUUGAUAUAAAACAAGAGUUCAUUCUCUUAACAAAUCAUACCUUUCUCGGCCUUUUGGCUAAGAUCAAGUGUAGUAUCUGUUCUUAUCAGUUUAAUAUCUGAUAUGUGGACCAAUGGUUCACACGAUAUUAAAUUUAUUUUUUGAGGGGGAGAGUCCGCCACAAUAGCUUGCUAUUGGGUUUCUCAAGUGUCGCUUUUGUGUUGCACUAUUGCAAUUGCCUGGCACACCCCACCAAAGAAGUCUAAAGUUUUUUUGCCUUCUUUUCAUGGUUAAGUACUUAUUUGAAUAAGUAAUUACUGCUUAAACAGGUGCCUUUAUUUGUGUUAAAUUGAUCUAUUUGAUUCCGUAUGGCAUGAAGGAUCCAAUUAAGUGAUUGCUUUAGUUGAAGUUUUGUUAAGUGAGGAUAUCAAGUUUAUGCACCUACGAAAGUGCUUAUGUUGAAUGCAUAACUCGCUUAUUUUUGUUUUUUAAACAAAUAAUCUCUCAAUUGUUACCUCACUAAGAGAAUGGUGUCCAUUUUAUUGUUCAUGUAGGAUUGGAAGACAGAGAGAUACAAAGAUAUAAUCAAGUCCGUCUCCGUAAGCAGAUUUCUAUAUACUCCCUCUCCGUAAGUUAGAUUUUAUAUUAAGAAAUUAUAUUCAUGGCAAAUGACCUGACUCUGAGUUGGUAAGCUAGCAGCAAAAUUGGGGUAACAUAUCUAAAGAGCUCAAUAAAGUAAUUGAAAAUCCUUUGGAUAUCACUCCAAGACAACAAAAUAUAUUAAGUGAAGGCUGGACUCUUAUCAUGGAACAGUGAUCAAGCUGGAUAUACACGAAAUUGACGAGGAUGUCGAAGUUUUACCUAGCCAUGAUUCAGUUGAAGGUAAUCUGAGAGGAGCAGAUAUACAUGUUGUUUGUAACAAUUCAAGUUUAUAGUAUAGAAGGCUCAGUACUUGAUAUGUCUUUCACCUUGUCUUGGGUAUUUCUUCCUUCUUCCUUCUUUUUAAUCUCAUUUGUUUUUGUAUUUCAGGUUCAUUGAUAAUAAUCAUUAGGUAGUAGUUAAUAGUAUUGUAGCUUGUCUUCAAUUUUGUUCCCUUCUAUUUUGAGAAUCAAUUUAAAUGAGUUAGGUACUGUAACUAGCAUUAGAUUUUUCCUCAUGAUUAUCUGUUAUGUUCUGGAUUGAUUAGUGCUUUCUCUCUUUGAGCAUUUUUUUAUAAUUAGUUUCCUCACCAGCUACAAAUCAUGUUUUAUGAGGGAAAUUGUGUGUAUUGGACAAGUGGAAUUGAUGGUUUUCCGGCCUUGUCGUUGCUUGUCAAGUUGUCAUCACUUUCUCCUCCCAAUCUUUACAGCUGCAAAGUAUUUAGCUUGAUAGAUAAAUGUUGUGUUUGUGCGAUCGAACCUAAAGAUCCACCUUCUAGGCAAUGAGAGAAAUGCUUUGCCAGGUGGACUUCAAGAAAGUCGAGCACAAGUGAAAAUAUCAAGACAAAAUCAAACAAGCUCUUCUAAUCAUAUGAGAGUACCUUGCAUUUGGUGAUAAGACAUAAAUUUUGUUCAUAUGUGUUAGAGAAAUUUUCCGCAGGUUCAGUUGUUAAGACAGAUAUCCCCAAAAUCAUGGCCAUAGCACUCCAAUUCUUCAUCAUGUGUAAACCAAUGCCUUGUAUUUGAUGGUUGAAAUUGCAUUCCCCGUUUAUAUGCUAUGCAUUUGUUUUGAGUCAGACAGUGUGUACAUAUAUGCUAAUAUAGAAUAAUGCCUUCUUUAUGUGUUUGGUCGGGUUUAAAAAAUUCGAUAAUGCCUUCAAUAAUAAUAGUAAUGAGAUUUUGAUUGAAAAUGAUUGUUAUAGGAAAUGUUGCAUAUUGAACUCAUCAUCGCCAAGCCAAUUGUUUCUCAAUCCUAAGAAUUGAAAAAGAUAUCAAGCUGAUUUCAUUGUUGUGAAGAGACCAGAAUUCAGGUUCUUAUUCCCAACAAGUACUGAUCUUGUCUUGUAACUUGCAAUGUAUCCCAACCAUUCCUUCUCUUCAGCGUCCUAUACGGAUAUGUUCACCGUGAAUUCUCCUUUGUUACCUCACAACUACUACAAUGAAUUUGUAGCAGGACAAAAUGAAGCUAAGUUUAUCACAGCUAUGGGUGACACACAGUGACUAUGCAGUUCAUUGAUACACAUUCCAAUGCUUGCAACUCUAACGUAGAUUUUGACCAAAAUAUGCAGUGCCAAGAGUUAUCUCUUAGUCUCGGUACACUAUUGCCUUCUACUGCAUCUGUCCCUCCAUUUCAAUAUCAGUAUCACGACAUCGGUUUUGUUUCACUUAUGAAUGCUUGUCUCCCAAAGGGAACUACAAUAUCCAAUGAUGAUGAGUUGAAAAAUGUUGAAUGUAUGGCAUCUACAUCUUCUGGAGGCUUUCAUGACUUUGUUUUGAUGAUGCUUUUUUUCUUUGUUUUUGGAAGUUUUUUAAGGUUGAUAUGUAUCUACUUUGAAUGCUAUAAAGGAGGGAGUGGAAUUUUUGUACAAAUUGGUGUUCUUAGUGUUGUGAAUACUUAUAGAGUCACUUACAUAUUAUCCAAAUUGGUGUUCUUAGUGUUCUUGGUGUUCUUAGUGUUGUGAAUACUUAGUGUUUUGAAUCAUGUACUAGGUAUAUGUUUGAGUUGGAAAUAUUGAUAUACUUUCAUGUCCCAAAAAAAUGAAGGGAUUUUUUUAUCCUUCUAUGUGAAAAUAACAAUUGAAUACUUGAACAAGAGUAGUAAUGUUGUAUUUUUUAUUUUUGUUUAGUUUUUUUUCAUGAAGUUUGAUAUGAUAAAAAUGAAUUGUGUUCAAUGAGGAAGUGUAUAUGUAUCUGCCAAUUAAUUUGGAUUUGGCAUCUAAGCUUUUAACAGACAUGAAUGAAAUUAGUCUCUAGGAGAAGACUUGUGAGGUAUACUACGUAAUAACUUUACAAACUGGAAAUAAGUUUCCUUAAAGAAUAGUUUCAUAUAUUACUUUGAUUUUUAUUUAUUGUUUUGAAAAUUAAGAAUGGGAUGGUUAUUAUUUUUAAUCUUAAUUAAUUAAUAAUAACAUAAAUAAGUCAAUAUGUCAAUGUUGGCUAUCUUAGUCAAUUGACAAUGAUUCACCUUAAAUUUCACAAUAACUUCAAUUUAAAUUACAGUGUUUAACGGAAAGACUUAGUUGAUGGAUGAUAUGUAAGUAACUCCAUCAUCACUCUUAAUUUAAACAUUGAGAUUUUCUCAAACUCUGGUGAGCCUCGAGGUCCAACUCCCCUAAUUUUUCUUUUAAAUAAAAAAACCAAUAUAUUAAAGAGACAUAAUAUAUAUAAUCAAAAAUAUUUUUAAUACAAAUAAAAAAUAUUAAUUAAUUAUAUCUUUUGCACUUAAAAUAAAGUAAUCAAUUACUAAUUUGUUUAUUUAGGGGAAAAAAAAACAAAGUUAACAUAAAGAGAGGGUAAUGGAAAUGAGAGCCACACAAAAUAGAGAGUUGAUCAAUAAAGUGAUAUGAAGAUGAAGAUGAAGAUGAUGAUGUUGUCAUAGCCAUGGCUUCUACUCUCACUUUCACUCCCUCCAUCACCACCACAUCCCGUUCCUAUCUUUCACACACCAAACACAGUUUUCGAUAUCCCAUAGUUAAGUUACAUUCUUUCAACAAUAAUAACUGUAAUAACAACCGUGUUUCCUUCAAGGUUUCAGCUUC
rnacentral:lncRNA from 1 species